AGCCCAGAAAUAGUCCGGAGUGCAAAUUCGGAUAUGGUUUAAUAGACCCUGGACUU
rnacentral:tRNA from 1 species